rnacentral:rRNA from 1 species
GAUGAACGCUAGCGGCAGGCUUAAAUACAUGCAAGUCGAGGGGCAGCGCGGGUAGCAAUACCUGGCGGCGACCGGCAAACGGGUGCGGAACACGUACGCAACCUUCCUUUAAGCGGGAAUAGCCCAGAGAAAUUUGGAUUAAUACCCCAUAAGAUAGUGCAGAAGCAUUUCUGAGCUAUUAAAGAUUAUCACUUAGAGAUGGGCGUGCGGCUGAGUUAGGUAGUUGGCGGGUAACGGCCCACCAAGCCUUCGAUCAGUAGCUGAUGUGAGAGCAUGAUC